rnacentral:rRNA from 1 species
GAUGAACGCUGGCGGCGUGCCUAAUACAUGCAAGUCGAGCGAACGGACGAGAAGCUUGCUUCUCUGAUGUUAGCGGCGGACGGGUGAGUAACACGUGGAUAACCUACCUAUAAGACUGGGAUAACUUCGGGAAACCGGAGCUAAUACCGGAUAAUAUUUUGAACCGCAUGGUUCAAAAGUGAAAGACGGUCUUGCUGUCACUUAUAGAUGGAUCCGCGCUGCAUUAGCUAGUUGGUAAGGUAACGGCUUACCAAGGCAACGAUGCAUAGCCGACCUGAGAGGGGGAUCGGCCACACUGGAACUGAGACACGGUCCAGACUCCUACGGGAGGCAGCAGUAGGGAAUCUUCCGCAAUGGGCGAAAGCCUGACGGAGCAACGCCGCGUGAGUGAUGAAGGUCUUCGGAUCGUAAAACUCUGUUAUUAGGGAAGAACAUAUGUGUAAGUAACUGUGCACAUCUUGACGGUACCGAAUCAGAAAGCCACGGCUAACUACGUG